ensembl:lncRNA
UCUCUGAGUAGCACUCUGAUGUUCCCAGUUUCUCCUCUCUCGCACAACAUUAAAAAGUCUGGAUAAAAGUGACCCUAGAUGCCCAGGGAGAUCACACACACGCAAGCACCCUGCUGAGAGCUCAAAUGUCAGAGUGAACAGAGGGAGAAUGCCUGUCUGCCAGCUCAUGAUACCCCGCUCUGUCAUUGGAGCGGUGUUUAUAUUCGAGGGGCUGACCGCAGGACGGCAAGCACUCAGAGGGGCCGCCUGACGCCACCGGUUCACUCAGCAGCCGAUGUCUUCAAGUUGGACACCGAGUGGUCCUCAAAUUUAGAUCAGGUUCCUUGUUUAGAUCAGAGAGGGAAACUAUGGAACAUAAAGAUGGGAACGAAAGAGUGCAGGAGGGAAGUGUAGAGAAACAGGAGGCCUUGUGGAAGUGCUCGUCUUGAAGCAAAGUUUAAUUUGCUUCUUUGGAUGCGUUUUAAAGGUAGAUAAUAUCAGAAUUUUUUAAACAUACACCAUGGUAGUAUCAGUGAACAUUUCUUAAAAUAACCAUUUUUUUCUUGAAGAGCAAAUAAAGAACCUUUUCUUAUUAUGAAGAGCCA